UUGGGAAUAUUGCACAAUGGAGGGAACUCUGAUGCAGCGACGCCGCGUGAACGAAGAAGGCUCUCGAGUCGUAAAGUUCUUUUAUAUGGGAAGAUAAUGACGGUACCAUAAGAAAAAGCCCCGGCUAACUACGUGCCAGCAGCCGCGGUAAUACGUAGGGGGCUAGCGUUGUCCGGAAUCACUGGGCGUAAAGGGUUCGCAGGCGGAAAUGCAAGUCAGGUGUAAAAGGCAGUAGCUUAACUACUGUAAGCAUUUGAAACUGCAUAUCUUGAGAAGAGUAGAGGUAAGUGGAAUUUUUAGUGUAGCGGUGAAAUGCGUAGAUAUUAAAAAGAAUACCGGUGGCGAAGGCGACUUACUGGGCUCAUUCUGACGCUGAGGAACGAAAGCGUGGGUAGCAAACAGG
rnacentral:rRNA from 1 species